rnacentral:tRNA from 1 species
GUGGCCUUGGUGUAAUUGGUUAACACACUGCACUGUGAAUGCAGAGAUGACGGUUCGACUCCGCAGGUCACCCCA